GGCCUGGCUGCGCUUCACCCCAGCUCCCUACUGCGCCACUGGGGAUGCCACGGAUUUAAGAAGCUCUGGCACUUAGAGGUUACAUUCCUUUUGGGACGCCAAUUGUAGUCGGUCUUCUCUUGCCCAACCAGACACUGGCAUCCACUGUCUUCUGGCAGUGGCUGAACCAGAGCCACAAUGCCUGUGUCAACUAUGCAAACCGCAAUGCAACCAAGCCUUCACCUGCAUCCAAGUUCAUCCAGGGCUACCUGGGAGCUGUCAUCAGCGCCGUCUCCAUUGCUGUGGGCCUUAAUGUCCUGGUUCAGAAAGCCAACAAGUUCACCCCAGCCACCCGCCUUCUCAUCCAGAGGUUUGUGCCGUUCCCUGCUGUAGCCAGUGCCAAUAUCUGCAAUGUGGUCCUGAUGCGGUACGGGGAGCUGGAGGAAGGGAUUGAUGUCCUGGACAGCGAUGGCAACCUCGUGGGCUCCUCCAAGAUCGCAGCCCGACACGCCCUGCUGGAGACGGCGCUGACGCGAGUGGUCCUGCCCAUGCCCAUCCUGGUGCUACCCCCGAUCGUCAUGUCCAUGCUGGAGAAG
rnacentral:sRNA from 1 species